AUACCUUUCUCGGCCUUUUGGCUAAGAUCAAGUGUAGUAUCUGUUCUUAUCAGUUUAAUAUCUGGUACACUGGAAAUCCAGUUACGAUAUUAAAUGAAUUUUUCCGGGGAGCAUCCCAAAAAGUUGUGCUAGCACAGCAGGGAGCGCGAAUGGCCAGUGGUUGGCACUAUAUCACUGGACGUUCACCCCUU
rnacentral:snRNA from 1 species